UACGAAGGGUGCUAGCGUUGUUCGGAAUCACUGGGCGUAAAGCGCGCGUAGGCGGCGACACAAGUCAGAGGUGAAAUCCCAGAGCUUAACUCUGGAACUGCCCUUGAAACUGUGUUGCUAGAGUACUGGAGGGGAGUGGGGAAUUCCUAAUGUAGAGGUGAAAUUCGUAGAUAUUAGGAGGAAUACCGGUGGCGAAGGCGCCACUCUGGACAGUAACUGACGCUGAGGCGCGAAAGCGUGGGGAUCAAACAGG
rnacentral:rRNA from 1 species